CUCUGAAGGGCCCGGGAUGACCCCUCCACUCCCACCAAAUCUCUACGAUUCAGAAGUUUUCUACUGAUGCGAUUUCCAGCUAGGAUGAGUCCUGAGGCAGGCCUGGGUUUUCUGCUACAUCAACCAUGCUGACCAGCAAGAUUCCUGAAGACAGCCUAGAACCGGCACGGAUUUCCCCCAAGUUUCUACCCAGUGUCACGAGCUAUCGGCAGCUGCUCCAUCAGAACAGUCCAGGCAGAGCAGUAUCCUGCAGACAUUAAUGCGUGUGUCCCAGAGCCCAUGGUAGGGAGGACCGGACUGAGGACAGCACAGACCCUCAAGUGUCAGGACACCGAGUCUGAGACAGCAAUAAGCGGGAAGAGCUUCCCUCUGAAUCUGUGGUCACAGAACCGGACUCACUGGCUCUUCCAUGCCAACCCCCUAGUCCCCAGUCACAGCUUGUGUCCAGGAGAUGGUCCCUUCCAUUCUCCCAGACCUUCAGCACGGUGGUCUAAGGCCCCAAGUGUAGGAGGGACUGAAGGCUGGGCCCUGCCUGGCUGUCAGGUUACGACUCAUCAGUAGGAGUGCGGGGACCAGAUGAUUAGGAAAC